rnacentral:misc_RNA from 1 species
GAAGUGCGAUAAGCAAUGCGAAUUGCAGAACCGCGAGUCAUCAGAUUUUUGAACGCAAGUGGCGACAGUUUAGGCUGUCAUGUUUGUUUCAGUGUGUCCGGUUAAUUACAUCAAAGAAUUUAAUGUGAUUGAAGAAAUUCUCUCACAAAAUACGGAACGAUGUCAAUGAAGACUCCAAACGAAAUAGUCACUAAAUGGUGAUAGUCGUUUGAGGAUUGGAAUUGGUGAAUCAUUGUUCUAAAAGAAAUUAUCCAAUUAUGACACCUGAAAUAAGCAAGAGUACCCGCUGAACUUAA